GGUGACCUAUCCCGCAGCUUGUGGCAACACCGGAUCCUUAACCCACUGAGUGAGGCCAGGGAUCAAACCCGCAUCCCUCACAGAAAGUACAUCCAUCCAGUCCUUAACCCAUUGAACCACAGUGGGUACUCCUAUAGAGGGUUUUAAAAGACCUCUUAAAGAGGAUAUGCUGGUGAAUUGUGAACGGAUGGCGAGGAGGGAGGCACAAGCUUACAGCUAAUAAUAGCUUAUCUAUCAACCAACAUUGCGAGUGCUUUGCCUGCAGUAUCUCACUUAAUCCCUUAAGAGCCAAAUGAGCAGGGUUGUAAUAUUAUCUGCAUUAUAUAGACAAGGAAGGUGGGGCCCGGAGUGGUCGAUCAAAGUGACGAGGCAGGUACAUUGUGGUGUGGUUAGGAUUUGAACCCCAGGGAGGGAGAUGAAAUGACCACCCUACGAAGCAGUGAAAGAGUGGCUGGAACCCCCUGGAACCACCUACUGCUCCCCAAAGUCACAAACAGGCUGCCCCGGCACCACAUCAUGCCCCAGGCAUGGAGUGUUUGCCCCAUAGAAUAUUCUUAAAACAGUUUUUAGGACUAAUUGCUAAUGCUUAAAAAUCUAGAGUUCCUAUUGAAAACCUGGGUUUCCAGUUUUUCUUGAAAAGUAAGAUCUGGCCGUACUGAGUCCAUAUAACAACCUGCCGCCUGCCUGCAUUGCCUUCCGCUGGGGCCUCUGCUCUGCAGUUGGCCAGAGCCCACCAGCUGCCUGGGGUCCCUGCCCACCUUUGCAGGUGCCUGAGUUUGCAGGUUCAGUUUGAUGCCAGGCUUACUUAUGCGCUGGAUCUCUUGUCAAGCUCAGGCCUCCAUUGAUGGCCAAAUGCUCUUUUUGAAUGUUAGGGAAUAGAAGAUAAAAACAAUAGCAUUUUUUUUUCUUUUUCCUUUUUUUUUGAUUUUUAGGGCCACACUCAUGGCAUAUGGAGGUUCCCAGACGAGAGGUGAAACUGGAGCUACAGCUGCUGGCCACAGCCACAGCCACAGUAACAUCAGAUCUGAGACGCAUUUGCGACCUGCGCCACAGAUCACGGCAAUGCCAGAUCCUUACCCACUGAGCGAGGCCAGGGGUUGAACCUGCAACCUCAUGUUCCUAGUCAGAUGCAUUUCUGCUGCGCCACGAUGUGAACUCCCAUUUUUUCUUUCAUGCUGUUGGAAUGGAGAAAAAUCAACACCCCCCCACCCACCCCCCGUGCUCAAGUGGCCACAGGGAGGAGGGUUACAUACAGGCAGGGCAGGUCAAAGUCACAGUUCCCCAAACCAGCACCCAUUAAAAUGAAAUGUCAAUCAUACCACGGAAAAUGGCAGGAAUGGUGGGGGCUCUACAAAUAAUGCUGUGAUUUUUUUUCUGUUUAAUUUGUUUUGUAGUUAAUAAUUUCCGUGAAUGUUGAGGUAUGUACUUUGAACACAUUAUAAGGAAGCUUCUAGAGAAAAUACAUGUGCGUGUGUGUAUCAUAGCUUACAUAGCUUGGAAUUCUCUGUAGAAAUUCAAUUUCAGAACAUUUUUGAAAAGUUUUACGAUUUACUGGAGUUCCUGUCAUGGCACCGUGGAAAUGAAUCCGACUAGGAACCAUGAGGUUGCGGGUUUGAUCCCUGGCCUUGCUCAGAGAGUUAAGGAUCCAGUGUUGCCGUGAGCUGUGGUGUAGGUCGAAGACAUGGCUCGGAUCGGGUGUUGCUGUGGCUCUGGUGUAGGCCAGCAGCAACAGCUCCGAUUAGACCCCUAGCCUGGGCACCUCCAUAUGCCACGGGU
ensembl:lncRNA